UGAUAAUAUGAUUUUUAUCUCAGUUACUAUCUAGUGAAAUGGGUCCUACGGUUUCAUUCAACAUGAAAAGACCAGAUGGAACAUGGUAUGGAUAUCGUGAGGUGGAAAAAUUGGCAACUUUAGCAGGAAUUCAACUGCGGACAGGAUGUUUUUGCAAUCCUGGUGCUUGUGCUAAAUAUCUUGGUUUGUCACACUUGGAUCUUCUUUCAAACAUUGAGGCUGGGCAUGUGUGCUGGGAUGAUCGUGAUAUGUUACAUGGAAAACCAACUGGAGCUAUCAGAGUAUCUUUUGGGUACAUGUCAACAUUUGAAGAUGUUAUGAAGUUUGUCAACUUCGUGGAAAAUAAUUUUGUAAUAUUAUCAUCUAAUUGGUCUGCGUUUCAUCUAAGCUCCAUCUCUCCACCAGUUGAAGGAAUUGGAAAAGCCGCUGCACGGCAUUUCCUCACAUCUAUUACUGUCUAUCCAAUAAAGUCCUGCGCAGGAUUUAGUGCGAAUCAGUGGCCUCUAACAUCUACUGGGUUAUUGUAUGAUCGUGAAUGGAUUCUCAAGAGCACAACUGGUGAAAUUCUUACCCAAAAGAAGGUUCCAGAAAUGUGCUAUAUUACCACGCUGAUUGAUCUCAAUUUGGGAAAACUGUUUUUAGAGUCACCUCGUUGCAAGGAGAAAUUGCAGAUUGAACUCAAAUCAAACUCACUUGCCACUGGAAGAGAUGAAAUGGAUAUCCAGAAUCAUAGAUAUGAAGUCCGAAGUUAUAACAAUGAGGUUGAUAUCUGGUUCAGCAAUGCAAUUGGUCGACCUUGCACUCUAUUAAGGAAUUCAGGUUCCCAAAGUUACUCAUGCAUAAAUAAGAAUGGGAGUCCUGGCAUGUGCAGGGAUGUUGGUGCUAAAUUGAAUUUCGUCAAUGAAGCCCAGUUUCUGCUGGUAUCUGAAGAAAGCAUAGCUGACCUCAACUCUAGGCUGAAAUCAAAUGGACGAAAGAGCACUGGCGGACAAGCAGUUCAAGUUGGUGCAAUGAGAUUUCGGCCCAAUCUUGUAGCAUCAGGUGGUGAACCAUAUGCAGAAGAUCGGUGGAGGCAUCUAAAUAUUGGGGGCAAAUAUUUUACUUCAUUGGGUGGUUGCAACCGUUGUCAGAUGAUCAAUAUAAAUCCAGAGGCUGGGGAGGUGCAGAGGUUGAGUGAACCUUUGGCAACUUUAGCAGGCUACAGGAGAGCAAAGGGGAAAAUAUUGUUUGGCAUACUACUAAGAUAUGAGAAUAAUACGAAAACCAAGUCGGAUGCAUGGCUUCGUGUAGGAGAACAAAUAUUCUCAAAUGGAGAUAGCAAUUGAUUACUUUCUUUGAAGUCUCUAUUUGGGACUUGUAAGUAGUCACAACAGAGGUUACAAGUGUUGAAUGUGGUGAAGAAGCGGCAGAAACACUUCCUCUUGGCAGAUUUGCCAAGGAAAAUGCAGAUAUUCACUCUGUAACACUCUCUCACGGAUCAUGGUGACUGCAAAUCCUGUGAGGGGAAGCAUCAUUGAGGACUGCAGGUUAUUGUUCUGACCCUUGCAAUGCGCCCUCGAUCUAUCAUAGGGAGUGGAAUCCAGCUGUGGAUUGUCUUGGCACAUUCUUGACCACUUGUGAAGAAAGUUCUUUGCCUAUUCCUGUCCCCUUUGAAAAACUGGUGUGUACUGUUAAUUAGACUCAGAUAUGUAUCCAUACAGCUCUCAACUAUGAAUUUACCAACUGAA